rnacentral:rRNA from 1 species
GACGAACGCUGGCGGCGUGCUUAACACAUGCAAGUCGAACGGAAAGGCCCUGCUUUUGUGGGGUGCUCGUGUGGCGAACGGGUGUGAAACACGUGAGUAACCUGCCCCUGUCUUUGGGAUAACUUCAGGAAACUGGGGCUAAUACCGGAUAGGAGCUCCUGCUGCAUGGUGGUGGUUGGAAAGUUUCGGCGGUUGGGGAUGGGCUCGCGGCUUACCCGCUUGUUGGGGGAGUAGCGGCUUACCAAGGCUUGGACGGGUAGCCGCCCUGGGAGGGUGACCGGCCACAUAGGUACUGAGGUACGGCCCAGACUCCAACGGGAGCCAGCGGUGGGAAAUAUGGCACAAUGGGCGCAGGCCGGUGGAGGCAACGCCGCGGGCGGGAUAACGGCUUUGGGGUGGUAAACCGCUUUGGCCUGUAACGAGGCGUGUGUGACGGUAACUAGUAAAGAAGCACCGGCUAACUACGUG